AUUGAACGCUGGCGGCAGGCCUAACACAUGCAAGUCGAGCGAGCGGCGGACGGGUGAGUAAUGUAUGGGGACUGCCCGAUAUAGGGGGAUAACUACUGGAAACGGUAGCUAAUACCGCAUACUAUCGGAUAACCCAUAUGGGAUUAGCUAGUAGGUGAGGUAAUGGCUCACCUAGGCGACGAUCCCUAGCUGGUCUGAGAGGAUGAUCAGCCACAAUGGGACGGAGACACGGCCCAGACUCCUACGGAGGCAGCAGUGGGGAAUAUUGCACAAUGGGCGCAAGCCUGAUGCAGCCAUGCCGCGUGUAGGAAGAAGGCCCUAGGGUUGUAAAGUACUUUCAGUCGGGAGGAGUUACGGACAGAAGAAGAACCGGCUAAGUCCGUGCCAGAAGCAGCGGUAAUUC
rnacentral:rRNA from 1 species